GACGAACGCUGGCGGCGUGCUUAACACAUGCAAGUCGAACGGAAAGGCCCUGCUUUUGUGGGGUGCUCGAGUGGCGAACGGGUGAGUAACACGUGAGUAACCUGCCCUUGACUUUGGGAUAACUUCAGGAAACUGGGGCUAAUACCGGAUAGGAGCUCCUGCUGCAUGGUGGGGGUUGGAAAGUUUCGGCGGUUGGGGAUGGACUCGCGGCUUAUCAGCUUGUUGGUGGGGUAGUGGCUUACCAAGGCUUUGACGGGUAGCCGGCCUGAGAGGGUGACCGGGCACCUUGGGACUGAGAGACGGCCCAGACUCCUACCGGAGGCAGCAGUGGGGAAUAUUGCACAAUGGGCGGGAGCCUGAUGCAGCAACGCCGCGUGCGUGAUGACGGCCUUCGGGUUGUAAACCGCUUUCGCCUGUGACGAAGCGUGAGUGACGGUAAUGGGUAAAGAAGCACCGGCUAACUACGUG
rnacentral:rRNA from 1 species